AAGAGUCCAAACCAGACACCUGAGGAAGAAAAACAGGUCAUCUCACUAAAUAGACCCAAAAGAAUAAUGGCAGCAUAAACAAGGAACUCCUGUUUCCGAAACAGUCCCCUGUCACACGCACAGCAGCUGAUCGAACAAAGAACCACAUUUGUACAUGCUCAGAGUGACACCAAUGAAUGCGCAUUACUACCAAAGCCUGGUGCUGCUGAAGAGGUGUCAUGUUCCUGUGAUGAAGAGCUGCAAGACGAGACUGGAGGAGGGAAAUCCUAG
rnacentral:lncRNA from 1 species